UACGUAGGGUGCGAGCGUUGUCCGGAAUUAUUGGGCGUAAAGAGCUCGUAGGCGGUUUGUCGCGUCGUUCGUGAAAACUCAACGCUUAACGUUGAGCUUGCGGUCGAUACGGGCAGACUUGAGUUCGGUAGGGGAGACUGGAAUUCCUGGUGUAGCGGUGAAAUGCGCAGAUAUCAGGAGGAACACCGGUGGCGAAGGCGGGUCUCUGGGCCGAUACUGACGCUGAGGAGCGAAAGCGUGGGGAGCGAACAGG
rnacentral:rRNA from 1 species